rnacentral:lncRNA from 1 species
CCAUGGCCGUGGUCCCUGUGGCGCUCCAGGCCUUCCUAGCAGAGGCUGCUGGGAGCUGGUGCCAUGCUAGGUUUCACCUCCGCCUCCACCACAGUUCAUGGGGCUCCCGGGAACACCAAGGAACCCAACAGGUUCCCAGGAAGCAGCUUUCAUGACAGGAGAGGGUCCUUGGAGAAAUCCCCUGCAGAGCUGUAGCUCUAGUCCUUCCUGCGUGGCCUUGCUGUAUGAAGCUGGGCCCGUCAUUGCCCCUCUGGGCUCAGGAGCCCACAGGUACAAGGCCAUCAACAGGGCAUCCUCUAUGGCCCCGUGUGCCCAGACCCACUCUGAACCUGCCACCUAGAUACCCUUGCAGGCUGGACCGGGUCAGCAGCACUCCCAGGGUCAGGGAUCAGAGAAGGGGAGCCUCAGGAAGUCCCUCACCAAACUGGCAGAUGUAACGGUUUCGGGUUUUGCAGCGCUGGUCGUUCCAGUUGAAGGCAGCUGAAGCCUGCAGCUCCACGCAGUUGCCAAACCUGCAGGCCAGGGUGUGGUGGUCAGGAGGCAAGAGUGAAGUCAGGGAUCCGGGAGAGGCCUAAGCCCUCCACCCAUCAGGACCCUGCAUCUCAGGGGCUCCAGUGCCCCCACCUGCCGACGGGGCUGCUGGGAGCCAGGAGGGCUGGCUGAAAUCGCUGGAGCCCUUGGUGGCCUCGCAGCCGGACCACCUCCACCCUGGCCCUGGGCAUUGCUGGGCUUUGAAGAGCAGGGUGGGGCCACGUGACCAGAGGGUUCUUGCUACAGGAUGGCUGGUGGGUCUGCAGGUGCAGGGUUGUAUUGUGAAUGAGUGCAGGUGGGUGACAGCUAAGGAAUGCUGGCAUCAGUGUAACUGAUGCAGGCAGAGGGCAUGCAGAGGGAGGGGUGAGUGGAUGAGAAUUGGAGGGAUGGAGUCACAGCCAGGGGACACUGGGGAUGGACAGAUGGAUGGAGGCUUCCUGGGUCCCUCUCUCCCCCACGUGACGUGCCUUCCGGCUUGCAUCUCCCUCACCCCACCACCGGCCCACACCAGCUGUGCCCACAACUCUCUGGCACCUGGGCAGGCACCAGGGAAGGAUCAGACCCUCAAAGGGCCCAGCCAGGCAGCGGGAUGGGGGGGCUCCACCAGGCAGGCCCAAGUGAGAAGGAGGCCCAGGGGAGGGAGGCACCCCACACUUACCCGUGGUUGUCAGGCUGCCCAAAGGCAAAACUGGUGAAGGCCU